GAUGAACGCUGGCGGCGUGCCUAAUACAUGCAAGUCGAGCGAACUUUUGGGAGCUUGCUCCCAAAAGUUAUCGCCGGACGGGUGAGUAACACGUGGGUAACCUGCCUUUAAGACUCGGAUAACUUCGGGAAACCGGAGCUAAUACCGGAUAACAUUUAAGACCACAUGGCCUUCAAUUAAAAGUUGGCUUUUAGCUACCACUUACAGAUGGACCCGCGGCGCAUUAGCUAGUUGGUGAGGUAACGGCUCACCAAGGCAACGAUGCGUAGCCGACCUGAGAGGGGGUUGGGCAACAUGGGAACGGGAACAGGGUCCGAAUUCCAACGGAGGGAGGCGUAGGGAAUCUUUCGCCAAUGAGGGAAAUCUGGAGGAGGCAAGCCGGGGGGGGUGAGGAGGGCUUUCGGUCGGAAAGCUCUGUUGUUAGGGAAGAAAAAGUAUCGUUCGAAUAGGGCGGUAUCUUGACGGUACCUAACCAGAAAGCCACGGCUAACUACGUG
rnacentral:rRNA from 1 species